CAGCCGCCGCGGUAAUACCGGCGGCCCGAGUGGCGGCCACUAUUAUUGGGCUUAAAGCGUCCGUAGCCGGGUUGGUUAGUCUCCCGGGAAAUCUGGCCGCUUAACGGUCAGAAUUCCGGGAGAUACUGCCAGCCUAGGGACCGGGAGAGGCCGAGGGUCUUCCCGGAGUAGGGGUGAAAUCCUAUAAUCCCGGGAGGACCACCUGUGGCGAAGGCGCUCGGCUGGAACGCGUCCGACGGUGAGGGACGAAGGCCAGGGGAGCAAACCGGAUUAGAUACCCGGGUAGUCCUGGCUGUAAACGAUGCGGACUUUGUGUCGGACAAGCUAUGAGCUUGUCCGGUGCCGGAGGGAAACCGUUAAGUCCGCCGCCUGGGGAGUACGGCCGCAAGGCUGAAACUUAAAGGAAUUGGCGGG
rnacentral:rRNA from 1 species